AUUGAACGCUGGCGGCAGGCCUAACACAUGCAAGUCGAGCGAGCGGCGGACGGGUGAGUAAUGUAUGGGGACUGCCCGAUAGAGGGGGAUAACUACUGGAAACGGUAGCUAAUACCGCAUACUAUCGGAUAACCCAUAUGGGAUUAGCUAGUAGGUGAGGUAAUGGCUCACCUAGGCGACGAUCCCUAGCUGGUCUGAGAGGAUGAUCAGCCAACCUGUGACUGGGACACGGCCCAGACUCCUACGGAGGCGGCAGUGGGGAAUAUUGCACAUGGGGCGCAAGCCUGAUGCAGCCAUGCCGCGUGUAUGAAGAAGGCCCUAGGGUUGUAAAGUACUUUCAGUCGGGAGACGUUACCGACAGAAGAAGCACCGGCUAACUCCGUGCCAGCAGCCGCGGUAUAC
rnacentral:rRNA from 1 species